rnacentral:rRNA from 1 species
GAUGAACGCUGGCGGCGUGCCUAAUACAUGCAAGUCGAGCGAACAGACGAGGAGCUUGCUCCUCUGACGUUAGCGGCGGACGGGUGAGUAACACGUGGAUAACCUACCUAUAAGACUGGGAUAACUUCGGGAAACCGGAGCUAAUACCGGAUAAUAUAUUGAACCGCAUGGUUCAAUAGUGAAAGACGGUUUUGCUGUCACUUAUAGAUGGAUCCGCGCCGCAUUAGCUAGUUGGUAAGGUAACGGCUUACCAAGUCAACGAUGCGUAGACGACCUGAGAGGGUGAUCCGCCACACUGGCACUGAGACACGGUCCCGACUCCUACGGGAGGCAGCAGUAGGGAAUCUUCCGCAGUGGGCGACAGCUUGACGGAGCAACGCCGCGUGAGUGAUGAAGGUCUUAGGAUCGUAAAACUCUGUUAUUAGGGAAGAACAAAUGUGUAAGUACCUAUGCACGUCUUGACGGUACCUAAUCAGAAAGCCACGGCUAACUACGUG